rnacentral:tRNA from 1 species
AUAGGGGUAGUUAAAUAUAUAACAUUAGGGUUGCAUUCUAAAAUUAAGGUUUGCCUUCCCCUAUU